CGUAGCACGCGCACAUGAAAAAACAUAACACGGCCACCCCGGAGACGAAACCGCUGCUGCGCUACACGACUGGAGUUACCUAAACUGUGCACACCGCACACCUUCGACACCCGAAGGACAAUUAUUCAGUUACAGACCACGGUCGCCGAUUUUCCUAGGAACUCGUAAGUAUAAAUGUCAACGAACAAAGAGCAGCCAAUACUGCCGAUGGGUGUGCGCCACUGUUGUAGGUGGGAAGCAGUGGCGUAGACAGGAAUUUCCAUUUGGGGGGGGAGAUAUGUAUAUUCAUCGCAGCCAGCCAGAAGUUUUGUGAU